GCAGACACAUUCCAGCCAAUCAGCAGCAGACCCUCCCUCCCAGACCCUUCCACCUCCUGGACAGCAUCCAUUGUGAAGCUGCAUUCUUAGUGAGCUGUCCAGGAGGUGGGAGGGUCUGGGAGGGAGGGUCUGCUGCUGAUUGUCUGGAAUGUGUCUG
rnacentral:miRNA from 1 species